GUGCCAGCCGCCGCGGUAAUACAGAGGUCCCAAGCGUUGUUCGGAUUCACUGGGCGUAAAGGGUGCGUAGGUGGUUGCGCAAGUCUGAUGUGAAAUCUCCGGGCUCAACCCGGAAAUGGCAUUGGAAACUGCGUGGCUAGAGGGUUGGAGGGGGGACUGGAAUACUUGGUGUAGCAGUGAAAUGCGUAGAUAUCAAGUGGAACACCAGUGGCGAAGGCGAGUCCCUGGACAACACCUGACACUGAGGCACGAAAGCUAGGGGAGCAAACAGGAUUAGAAACCCCCGUAGUCC
rnacentral:rRNA from 1 species